rnacentral:tRNA from 1 species
AACUGGAUAGCCUAGUGGUCAAAGGCAGCACUUCUAGCAAUGAUGAGGUCUCAGGUUUGAAUCUUGGUCUAGUCA